rnacentral:rRNA from 1 species
AUUGAACGCUGGCGGCAGGCUUAACACAUGCAAGUCGAACGAAGUGGCGAACGGGUGAGUAACGCGUAAUCAACCUGCCCUUCAGAGGGGGACAACAGUUGGAAAAGACUGCUAAUACCGCAUACGGAAGGAGGGGAUUGCGUCUGCUUCGCUAGUUGGAGGGGUAACGGCCCACCAAGGGGAUGAUCAGGAGCCGGUCUGGGAGGAUGAACGGCCACAUUGGGACUGGGACACGGCCCAGACUCCUACGGGAGGCAGCAGUGGGGAAUCUUCCGCAAUGGACGAAAGUCUGACGGAGCAACGCCGCGUGAGUGAUGACGGCCUUCGGGUUGUAAAGCUCUGUUAAUCGGGACGCGGUACCGGAAUAGAAAGCCACGGCUAACUACGUGCCAGCAGCCGCGGUAAUUC